CCUACGGGUGGCAGCAGUGAGGAAUAUUGGUCAAUGGGCGCGAGCCUGAACCAGCCAAGUAGCGUGAAGGAUGACUGCCCUACGGGUUGUAACCUUCUUUUAUCAAGGAAUAAAGUGAGGCACGUGUGCCUAUUUGUAUGUACUUUAUGAAUAAGGAUCGGAUAACUCCGUGUCAGCAGACGCGGUAAUACGGAGGAUCCGAGCGUUAGCCGGAUUUAUUGGGUUUAAAGGGAGCGUAGAUGGGUUGGUAAGUCAGUUGUGAAAGUUUGCGGCUCAACCGGAAAAUUGCAAUUGAUACUGGCAGCCUUGAGUACAGUUGAGGUAGGCGGAAUUCGUGGUGUAGCGGUGAAAUGCUUAGAUAUCACGAAGAACUCCGAUUGCGAAGGCAGCUUACUAAACUGCCACUGACAUUGAUGCUCGAAAGUGUGGGUAUCAAACAGGAUUAGAUACCCGAGUAGUC
rnacentral:rRNA from 1 species